UUUGAUAUGGUCUCGAUCUGUAUUCUUGACCAUUGCCGGCCGUGGGCUUACAGGUCAUAUCAACGGCACUUCUGUGAAGCCGGAAACAUCGGGUGCUACUCAAGACAAGUGGAUCUCGAAUGACUCUUUGGAUCUGGUAACGGAGAAGGAGAUUGGAUAUGGUAGAUUGGAUGGUGGUCUUUAUCUGCUCGAGGGUAGUGGGGUUUCUACUUCUAUGUCGUCUACUACGCCCCAUCAAGUUAAUUUAGCAUUGACAGAUCUCUAUCAGUGGCACUGCAGAUUAGGUCAUCCCCCUUUAGGAACUUUAGAAAAAGUUUUCCCGAGUCUCGUUUCAGCUUGUAAUAAAGAUGAGUUUUUUUGUGAAGCUUGUGUCUUUGCUAAACAAACUCGUUCUACAUAUUCAUCUUCAAAUAAUAAAAGUCGUUUCCCUUUUCAUGUGAUU